CGUUUUUCAAGACUUUUGAUUUAAACUGUGGCUCUUUUGGAUGCAGUUCAGGACUGAGAGGACUAAAGCUGAAGUAGACCAAUAAGAAGAGAACAGAGACGUCUAUCACUCCAUGCAUAACAGCUGAGUUCUUUUUCAAUAGUCUUUUAGGCUACUCCAAAUUUAGAUUUAGAAAAUUUGGUCAUCUUAUCAGACUGGACUCUACACAAGUGCUUGACUACGCUGAGAAGUUCUCCUGUCAUUAGUAACUAUGCAUAAAGUUGUUCCCAUGUUAUUAAAGCGAACAUGUGAUGCAUAUUUUAAGCUCUGUAUUGUUGUUCUUACAGCUCUGUCCUGUUGUUCUUCUACUAGAGUAACAUUGUAUGGUUCAAAGUAAUCCCUCUUUAUAUUAAACUGGGACUUGUUGAACCUUCAAUCUGCCUCCUCCAAAAACAUCCUUUCUUUUAAGCCAGCCUUCUUCUGAUUGGCUGCUCUUUGUAAACAGAAGGUUUUGAACAGCAGGUGGGUGGGGCUUCUGAGUGUAGUCACCACUGUGAGCUUAUCCUGUGCAUCAUUUAGAGUGAAAAGUAGAAAACGACUCUUAAUUGAGUGUUUUCAUUGAUUACUUGCACGUGCUGAUAUCAUUAUUUAAAACUUUUUUUUUUUUGUUGUUGUUGUAGCAAAACUAAGUGAAGUACAGGGUAGAAGCACCACUGCAAUUGUAUAACAAUUUCUGUUAUGCAAAAGUUGUAUAAAUUCUCCCACUGAUUAUCCACUUCAGCACUUUCCACUUCUCUUCAUGCAUA